AUUAAUAUCACAAAUUAGUUUCAUGUUGAGUCUUAGUCAAAAUGCAGUAAACUAGUGUUCAUUAAAAUAAACUUCUGUUUGUCAGAUUCUGUGAUUAAAUAUUUGUUCUUACUAAUUUUCCUACCUGCAAAAGGACAUAAAGAGAUUAUCUGUAGUGUUCCAGAAAGGUCUUUGGUGAGAGGGAAUAUUCCAUAUGUCAAUUUCCUAUGUAGGGCAAGGAUCAUAGAUCUAAAAUGUAUAGAAGAUGAGGUUAAAUCUCCAUCUCUUCUAUUUUUCAUUUCACAGCCUUCAUGGGGCUUUGAAUUCAGCCUCAAACAUUGUGAUAAUCCGAUCCUGACACUUGCCCUCCCCUCAUUCACUCUUUUAACAAUCCCAAGAGAGUGCAGGACUGAGAUCCGAAAAUGUUAUUAUGGAGGGGAAAUAAAGGUUAUUUUGAAUGCUUCAAGGUCACGUGACUUGUAAGAAGAAGUCAGUUGCUAUGUACAAAGUCCUACUACUCUAAGACUGCCAUACCAUGAGAAGCCCAACCUAGCCAUGUGGAGAGGUCAUGUGAAGGAGAACUGAGUCUUCCAGCCAGCAACCCCAGCUGAGCUUCCAGCCAACAAACAGCACUAACUUGCAUGGGAGAAGCUGUCCAGGAAGUGAAUCCUUGAGCUCCAAUUGAGCUGCCUCAAGCUGGUGUCACGUGGAGCAGAGAUGAGCUGUCCCUGACAUACCUUGCACAAAUUUCAGAAACAUAAGUAAAUAAAAGAAAUAUUUGUAUUUUAAGUCAACA
rnacentral:lncRNA from 1 species